rnacentral:rRNA from 1 species
ACGCUCGACACCCACGGAGGCAGCAGUGAGGAAUAUUGGUCAAUGGGCGCAGGCCUGAACCAGCCAAGUAGCGUGAAGGAUGACUGCCCUAUGGGUUGCAAACUUCUUUUAUAUGGGAAUAAAGUUUUCCACGUGUGGAAUUUUGUAUGUACCAUAUGAAUAAGGAUCGGCUAACUCCGUGCCUGCAGCGCGGUAAUCUGAGGCGGGCUGGCAAGGC